CCUCUUCCCCCCUUUUGCGAUUUCUGUCACCUUUUCCUCUUUUCCUUUUUCCCCUCUUUCACUCCUUUCAUUUUAUUCUUUCUCUCUUUUCUCCUUCUUCCCCACUCCCUCUUUUCUCCCUUAUCCCCCUUCUCCCUCUCUUUGUUUCCGUUUUCUCCUCCUUCCUCCCUCCAUCCUUUUCCUUUUUUCUCUCCCACUUUUCUUUCCCUGUUUCCUAUUCUCCCA